rnacentral:rRNA from 1 species
UACGUAGGGGGCAAGCGUUGUCCGGAAUCAUUGGGCGUAAAGCGCGUGUAGGCGGCUUGGUAAGUCCGCUCUGAAAGCCCGGGGCUCAACCCCGGGAGGCGGGUGGAUACUGUCAAGCUCGAGUCCGGAAGAGGCGAGUGGAAUUCCUGGUGUAGCGGUGAAAUGCGCAGAUAUCAGGAGGAACACCAAUGGCGAAGGCAGCACUCUGGGACGGUACUGACGCUGAGACGCGAAAGCGUGGGGAGCGAACAGG